CUCAACACCACCACCACCCCCGCCUAAAAAUGGGAAAAACAUGUUGAGACAUAGAAUAGCCAACGGGUUGUUCUGACAUUUAUAAACAACAAGCCUACUUCCCUGCCGCCGCCAUGAGGGAGAUGGUGCACCUGCAGGCCGGGCAGUGAGGCAACCAGAUCUGCACCGAGUUCUGGGAGGUGAUCAGCGAUCAGCAUGGCAUGGACCCUACCGGCCCUUACCAUGGGGACAGCGACCUGCAGUUGGAGCGCAUCAACGUGUACUACAACGAGGCCACUGGUGGCGAGUAUGUGCCCCAUGCUGUGCUCGAGGAUCUAGAGCCUGGCACUAUGGACUCAGUGCACUCGGGCCCCUUUGGGCAGAUUUUCAGGCUGGACAACUUCGUCUUCGGUCAGAGUGGUGCCAGAAACAACUGGGCCCAGGGGCACUACACAGAAGGCACAGAGCUGGUGGACUCAGUGCUGGAUGUUGUGAGGAAAGAGGCUGAGUGCUGUGACUGCCUGCAGGGCUUCCAGUUGACCCAUUCCCUGGGUGGGGGGACUGGAUCUGGGAUGGGCCCCCUUCUCAUCAGUAGGAUCCGGGAGGAGUACCCAGACAGAAUCAUGAGCACAUUCAGUAUGGUGCCCUCACCCAAGGUGUCGGACACGGUGGUUGAACCCUACAAUGCCACCCUGUCAGUCCAUCAGCUUGUAGAAAACACAGAUGAGACCUAAAGUUGACUACGCCCACAUAUGGUGACCUGAACAACCUGGUGUCUCCCACCAUGAGUGGGGUUACCACUUGCCUGCACUUCCCAGACCAGCUCAAUGCUGACCUGCGGAAGCUGGCUAUUAAUAUGGUCCCUUUUCCCCGCCUGCAUUUCUUCAUGCCUGGUUUUGCCCCACUGACCAGCUGAGGCAGCCAGCAAUACCAGGCUCUGACAGCACCUGAGCUCACCCAACAGAUGUUUGACGCCAAGAACAUGAUGGCCGCUUGCGACCCCCGCCAUGGCCGCUACCUAACAGUGGCUGCCGUGUUCAGGGGCCGCAUGUCCAUGAAGGAGGUGGAUGAGCAAAUGUUUAAUGUCCAAAACAAGAACAGCAGCUAUUUUGUUGAGUGGAUCCCCAACAAUGUGAAAACAGCUGUCUGUGACAUCCCACCCUGGGGGUUUAAAAUGUCUGCCACCUUCAUUGGCAACAGCACAGCCAUCCAGGAGCUGUUCAAGCGCAUCUCGGAGCAAUUCACAGCCAUGUUCCGGAGCAAGGCCUUCCUGCACUGGUACACUGGCGAGGGCAUGACGAGAUGGAGUUCACUGAGGCUGAGAGCAACAUGAAUGACCUGGUGUCUGAGUACCAGGAUGCCACGGCUGAGGAGGGCGAGUUUGAGGAGGAAGCUAAGGAGGAGGUGACAUAGAGCCAGCCCCUGCUACCGGCUAAAGCGUGGAAUUGGUGUGAACUCUUUAUUCACUCACAACCUGUUCCCUGAUAGCUGCGUCUCACUGUGUGUGCCCUGGCUAUUCUUUCUGUCUCAACAUCAUAUGCUGUACAGACAUCACCAUUAAAGCAUUUUCAUAGUGAAAAAAAAAAAUGCCCUCCUAAAUCCCAAAUCCAGGAAACAAAAGUCAGUCACUAUUUUACUUGACAAAAAACAUUACAACUUAAAAGCUACGUAGUUUCUCAUUCAGGAACCCGCAAACUACACCGGAGGGGCUUAAUCCACAUGAAGCUGGGUGCUGUGGGAACAGAUGCCACCUGGUUUAUAAAUAAAGUUUUGUUUGAACAGAGCUAUACCCAUGUUGCCUAUGGCCGCUUUCACACAAUGGCAGAGUUGAAUAGUUGAAUUGGAGACUAUAUGGUCCUUAAAGCCUAAAAUUCUUAUUAAAAAAGUUUGCUGACACUUGUUCUAAUGCAUUUGAUACAUUUAUUUCUUUAUUAAUAAAAUAACUCAAUUUUUUUGAAUUUAGUAUAUAUUAGAUACAAUAUAAAGCUCCUUUCUAUAUCAUCUAAGACUUAAAAAAAAUGACACAGGCAUGAUUAAUCACAUUUUAAGAUAAAUAAAUCCAGGUCCAGGGAUGUGAAAUUACACAGCUAGUUAGUUACACCAGGACUCAGGCUUGGGUCAGAAUGAUUCUAAAAGCUGUGGCUUUCACCACUGUUUUGGAAACCUUAUCCUCUCUUGGUUUCUGUGACAUCUUUGUCUUUUGUUUCC